AUCUGAAGCGCCUUUCGAUUUUUGGUUAAAUUUUUUCUUGAAAGCGACAAUCAUUUUACUAAAUGAAAAGGUAUAUUUGUUGUUUAGGAUUACAAACUUUCCACACAGUAUUUGCUUGGAUACUUCUUUUCUUUUUCUAACCGAUUUGUUAGACGGGUUCUUGGUACGCUUGGCCAGAGAUGCAACGGUUUUUCUUUGAUGAUCGUGCCUUGUUUUCUCUGUUGCUUUGGCAAAAAAAUCUGACGACUUCUUAGAUUGAUGUUUUGUCCAUAAAUUGCCGGUCUUUGUUUGGAUAGAUUCACUUACUUGAGCACUGUAGCUCUUGGUACUCGGACGUCGGCUUGAGGAAUUAAUAGAAAACCCCAUUUUUGUAGGCCCUACUUAUUUUCAUCGGAAGGAAACGGUUUUUGUGGUACAUAAUUGAAUGCAAAAAAAAAUGUUGCUCAAUAUGAUUUUCAUUGGAAGGAAAUGAUAUAGAUCUUGACAAUACUUGCUGAAAAAUGUUUGCCAAGAAUCAAGUCAUAUAUGUUGCUUGUAUGUAGUACUCAUGUGUAGCUAGUGGCGGAUCUAGGAUUUUGAAACAGGGUGGAAAUUACAAUAAAUAUGACAUGCCAAUAGCAAAAUAGGAAUUGAUUAAUAUGGUCUUACAAAAAUAUGUAAGAUUCUCGAAUAAGUCUUGAUUUUGCAUAAAAAAUGUACAUGCCUUGAAAAAUUCAAAGAGGACUAUGUGCAUGUGUUCAUUCUUCCACAUUUGAUACAUAUAUGUAAUCAUGUGGUCCUAGUUGUCAUUUUGUUCUUCAAUAUGACAAUGAAAUUUAUUGAUUAAGAAAAUGACAACAAUAUAUCGAUUGUUUGAACCCAAUUGAAACAACUUAGUAGCAAGUAGUAACAUUCCUGAAAAUUACGGCUCAAGAUGACACAUGGACUCAGAAAAUGGAUCCAAACUGAAACAAUUCAGUUCUAAGUAGUGACACUCCUGUACAGAAUUAAGUAGUAAUACAUUACAAUUUACAAACGUGAACAUCAAGCCUAAAUUCGUAACGAGAAGUAAUGGCAGGUGGCAGCACGACCAGAAAUGAAUAAUUAGUAAAUAGAAAGGGAUGUGGUACGCAUCCACCGACUAAUCUUUUUUAAAAAUUAGCCGGAUCGCAAGCCUUCAGAUUGGAUACAUAGAACGAGUCGAAUACACCUUCUUCAUGAGUGCAGAUCUUGUUGCAGAAUUUUUUUACGACAACUAUUUUGUUGGGAUUUGUUUUGCAACUGUAGCCUCCCGUCCCAUAAUCUCUUUGGCGAAUAAUAUUAUGGCAUCAUUGGUGACUGUGCCGUCUCCCUGCACUGUCAUGUCGUCAACCCUGAGUAGUACGCCACCAUCAGCACCUGGCUCUGUAGCAGCAACGCCUGCAGCACAAAGUUGCUAUUCGUCGCGAUCGACCCCCGCAUCUGCUCGUCCUACAAGCGCCCGGCAUGUUCUACCGCUGAACGCUGACGAUUCAGGCGAUCAGCCCGCUCUCCUUCCCCGGUGAUUCAGGUACAAACUUUGUUGUUUGAUUUGUGUGUUGUAAAGUUCGCCUUGGAUGAAGCGGACCAUCGGCGAAAGAGCACAGCCAUCAUGGGGAGCUGCACGGAGAACAGCGGCUGCCACGAUGGGCUCUAGCGGUGGUGGGAUGCUGAAAGAGAGACACAACAUUCAGUUUUAUGAUUAAGCAUCUCCCUUCGUCUCUCGAGCG
rnacentral:lncRNA from 1 species